UCUCCCUUGUCCCCCUCGGCCAUGCUGAGCUGGAGCCUGGUAUGUCUGGGCCGGCCGGGUGAGGGCAGGCACAGCCCCUGGGUGCCACCCACACGGGGAGGGUGCACAGAGAGGGUAGAGCCCACGCCCAGCCACCCCCGGACUCCAGGUUUGAAAAAGGCCCGUGACUCUGGGUGGGAGGCAGCAGUCGGCAGCGACACUGACCUGCUGAGUGCAUGGGUGUUCGGGUGGGGGAGGGGGUCUGGUGACCCGGGGUCCCCGAGCCUCGCGGCUCCCCAGCAAUUGUCAUGAUUGCCCAGAUGUCCGCACAUAGCCGCCUGUGUGGAAGGGGCUCAGUUCCAGAGCUGGUGGCUGGGAAGCCUGUUCUGGGCUGAGAAACUAUUUUCUGGAACUUGGCUAAUCGAAAACCGGAAACAGCCCAGCUGUCCUUCGACUGGGAAACAGAUAAACGGCCCAGGCCCGUGCCUGCGAGGGGUGGCGCGCGGCGAUUCAAAGGCUGCGGCCCCGUGGGUGAGCCUCGCGGGCAACGUGCCGGCUCCAAAGACCGCACGCCGCCUGUUCCACCGCCGUGGCCGAACCACGGCCACGCAAAGCGCAGCGGAUGCUGCCGGUGGCCCGGGGGGGCGGGGGGUGAGCUGGACGCACAGGGGAGUUGGGGGUGUCGGGACGCACAGCGGUUACGUGACCACGUGCGUGUGUAAGACUCUCAGAACCGAACGCGGAGAAGGGUGAGCUUUGCCGCGUGUCCGUUAUACGAUAAUAAAACAGCAAAAAGGAUUCUUUUCCUUUGCUGCAGACACAGUCGGCAGCCUGGGACGGGUCUGGGCCAGACGCCCCGCUGGGAAACCCUGUCCCUCUGUCCCUCUCUGGGCUCUCAGGUGGCUCUCUGCCCCGCCCUCCCCCCCCCCCGCCCGGCCCAGCCUCCUGGCCUCCCUGGCCUGUUGGGGACUUUCCCCAAACACCAAAAGCAAACCUGCCCCCAAAAGAUGCCGGUGUGGGGGGCGGGGGUGGAGGUCGGAGCUGGCAUCUCACAGCUACUCAGCUCCCGGGCCCGCUUUCCCAUUCCAGUCAGAUGGCUGGAAGCUGACGGGCUAAUGAAGCAUCGGGGCCCCUUCCAAGGUGGGGGCUUCCCAUUUGCCCUUCCAUAGCAGUAACUGAGAUUAUAGGGAGGCUCCCGGGAGGGGUCUGUCCCCCAUUUCCCGCCGGCAUCCGCCUCCCUGUCCCCCCCAGCUCCAGAGCCACAUGCAGGGCCCCACCCCCCGAGCCCCCCACUCCCUGGCCACCAACAGCCCCCUGCGGGAAUCGCGCGCCGAUGGGAUUAGCGACUGUGGAUGGGUCUCCCUCCCUCCCUCCGUCUGCAGGAGUCACGAACCUUUGCCUCGGCCCCCGUAGCACGUGGCUGCUCUCACGGUCGCCUGUGUGUGCAGUGUCGCAUCGUGCUCUUGGCCCCCUGUAACCGUGCUACGUAUGUCCCCCCACAGGGCAGGGGAGCCCCCACCGGCCCCCCUCGAGGAUUGGGAGUCUCUCACCUCCUUGUGGGCCCCGGAGGGGGGGCUCUUUUGGUGGAGACACACGUUUGAUGAGCACCUACUGUGUGCCAGCCCCGUGUGGAGGGUCCGGGCUGUGCGGUGCCGAGGCCACCAGACAGACAGACUGCCGUGCAGCCGGGAGGGCGUGAAUCACAGUGACAGCAACUGCUUUCCAGUGUCCGUGUGCCCGGCUCUGGGUGCUUCCGGAACGUUCUCAUUUUACAGAUGCAGAAGCAGAGGCCAGGAGAGCCCGGGGCCACCUGCCCGGGUUGGGAGGGCGCUCGGAGCGUCCCAACUGUGGCUGCACAGGAGAGCAUCCCUUCUGACCCCUGCCCUCACUCCUGCCCUCACCCCUCCCCAGACCAGGUGUAGGAGCAUCCUGCAUUUUGUAACGUUCCCAGGCGAUUUGCUGAGCAGCCUGGAUCCCUGGAUGGACCCCUCCGCACUCCCUUGACUGUCCUGAAAUGAAAAUCACAGGAAAUAAAACUCACUUCGCGUAGGAUCUCGAAAAAAGUCAAUAUAACGUUCUGAGUGUAAUAUAAAGGGUAUAUUACCAUGGUUAAAGGGGAAUCAUUGAUACUCAGGUACUGUGUCUUUCGAUGUGUGAGCGCCCGCCCCAUCUCCAGCAGGAAGCCUGGCCCCGGGGCACGGAGCCGCAGUCCGGCCGCAGCUGGAGGUGCCCGGGAGACUGUGGGCGGCCGUUGCCGCGUCUGUGACAUGACUUCCCCAAACGGUGACGUUCCCAACAGAGCAAAGCCUCUUACCCUCAGGUCUGACCCCAGGCUCUUGCAAAGCCGCCCUCCCGUAAGUGAGCUCCGAUGGGACGCAGCCCUUCCCACGGCCCCCAGGACACAGCCAGGACAUCGCGCUUUGAGGAGCAGCCAGCCUGCGCCCUCCACCCUGCCCCGUCCCACCCCGCUGACCGGUUGCCCUGCCCCGAGUUUCAGGGGUCAGAUCCCUGCACACGCUGGAGAGGAAUUUUGUUUUAUUGAGAUGGAAUUCACAUGCGAUGGACGGAACGAGUUUAAAGUGCACAGUCCAGUGGCAUUUAGCGCGGUCACGGUGCGGCACAGCUAAGCACCUCUUUACCCGGUUCCGAAACCUCUUCAUCCACCCCAGGAGGAGCCCCGGCCCCGAGCCCGAGCCCCAGCCACCGCCAACCCGCCUCUUGCC